UCCCUGGCAGUCCAGUGGUUAGGACUUGGUACUUUUACUGCCAAGGCCCGGGUUCAAUCCCUGGUCAGGGAA
rnacentral:tRNA from 1 species